rnacentral:rRNA from 1 species
UGGGGAAUAUUGGACAAUGGGCGAAAGCCUGAUCCAGCAAUGCCGCGUGAGUGAUGAAGGCCUUAGGGUUGUAAAGCUCUUUUACCCGGGAUGAUAAUGACAGUACCGGGAGAAUAAGCUCCGGCUAACUUCGUGCCAGCAGCCGCGGUAAU